UCUAAGGAUGAGGAUUAAAUGAGAGGCACUGAGGGCUGGGCCUGCCCCCCAGCACACUCUAGGCGGAGCAGGUGUUCGUCUUUUGUGGGCACUCGAUUCCCUCCCUAGGUGUUGCUACCGUCCCAUGCGAUGAGUGGCGCCUUUCCACGCCAAUUCCAGACACUCGAGUUCCCGCGCUUCUUCGCAGCUGGGAUGCAGCCAUGCGGCCUGAGUUCCUCCAGGCAGACUCACCCGGGUGAGAAUCAGAAUGGAGCUUUGUGUGGUGGUGGCUGUGCCCAAGGGAUCUGAGCUUCUAGAAGACACUGUGGCAACACUUUUGGUUUCUGCAGGGGCUCAGCAGUGGCUGAGCCUUGUGUCCGGGCCCAAUCUCAUCAGGACAGACACGGUGGCUGUGGUGUGUUGCUAAAGCAGCCCCGUGGUGUGGUUGAAGUCUUUCCUUCUGCGCAGCUUUGGAGCCUGCAUUCCAAUCCUCCCAGGGGUUUGGGAACACUUCAUAUCUCGACGCAAAUCCCUUUCUUGCUUUAACCAGCCAAAGCGACUCUGCUGUUUGCAACUGAGUUCCCGGACACAUGCAGUAAGCGGUCACUGAACAACGCUCCUGAGUCACUUUCUCCAAGGUGACUGGGACACACCAGGAUAAACUCAGCUCAUCGCAGAGGCCUCUGCUGCAGUCUUGGUUGGCAGCCCAGCCCUUGCGGGCACCAGCCCCUGCCAGAGCCACGAACAACCGGAUAUAAGGACAAAUGGAUGAGUCACCGGGAGCAAUCACAGGACGACAGCAAGCCUGGGUGCCAAAUGGCGGAGAUUCCGCCUGGCAAUGGCAGGGCACAGUGCUGGGCUGACGGGAGGCACCUCUCCGGGCAGACCCUCCAGGGGAGGCACAGUCUUGCUGGAAGGAAGGCAAGGGAACACUUUGGGGGUUCCAGCAGGAGCCGGCCCUGGACACCCAGCAGGACGGAGCUGGCCCAGCCACUCUGCAGAGUCCUCCCAGGCUCCGGGAGCUGCGCCAAGUUCUGGGGGCCGGAAGUCUGCAAUCAAGGUGUCAGCAGGGCCGAGCUCCCUCAGGGUGUUCCCAGGAGGACCUUUCCUCGCCUCCUCCAGCUUCUGUGGAAAUCCCCCUGCUUCUGAAAUAUUCUCCGGAACUCAACAUAAAAAGCAGGCAAAAGGCGGCUAUCAUUUCCGGCUGAUCUCCCCUCCCUCCCCAACCCCAGACCCCCGAGGCACCCCAUGCGGCUCUGAGGACCCAGUGAGAGAACUGAUGCAGAGGACACACAUCCCAAAGCCAGGCACAGCCUCAAAUGGGUUAAAAUCACACUUGUCAAUUCUGUGACUUUGGUCAAUCUCUCCACCUUUCUGAUCACCAGUUUUCCUGAAAGAUUGUUAAGAGGAUUACAUGAGAUAACCUGGUAGAAACACUCAGCAGUGGACCACAGGGCCGACUAGCGCUGCGCUGUCCGGGAUGGGAACCUCCAGCCCCGCGCGACUGGUCCUAAUUGAGGUGUGCGUAAGCAUAAAACACACAGUGGAUUCCCAAGACUUGUAAGAACAAAGAAUGUAAAACAUCUCAUUAAUAAUUUUUAUAUUGAUUACAUGUUGAACUGACAUAUUUUGGAUAUGCUAGGUUAAAUGAACUAUAUCAUUGAAACAGUUUCACUGGUUUCUUUUUACUUUUUAACGGAGCUACUAGAAAAUUUU
ensembl:lncRNA